CCAAGGGAAAGCUAUAAAUAGCCCUAUUUUGUAAAUGCUCCAAAUCACAAAUAAUUAGAGAAGUUCAAAUUAAAGCAACUAUGGGGGACUAUCUCACAUCCAUCAGACUGUCAGAUGACAAAAGAGAAAAAUUACAAUGUUGAAGGGGCUACAGGAAAAGAGGCACAUUGAUACACUGUUGGAGGAACUGGGUCCACUCAUUCUGGAAAGCAAUUUGGAACCAUACUCCAAAAGUUACUAAACUGUGCAAACAUUUUGACCCAUUGAUAGACCAGGCCUAUCCUCCAAAGAAAUUAAAGAAAGCGGAAAAGGGCUUAAACAUAUAACACCCAAAGCAGCUUUUGUAGUAGCAAAGAACUGAAAACUCAAGGGGUGCCCAUUUAUUGAGUAAUGACUGAGUAAAUUAUGAUACAUAUCUUUGUUAUAUAUGAGGUUUUUUUUUCCCUAAUGGCAUGUAUAGGUGAGAGAAAAUAGCUUUUUGUUACUUGAAAAAAAAAUUUACUUUUAAAAUUAUGGCAUGUGAAUGUAAUAAAAUGUUAUUUUACCAUGAGAAGUAAUGAAACUGAAAGUUUCAAAGAAAACCAGGAAGACUUCUAUGAAUAGAUGCAGAGUGAAGUGAGGAGAGUCAGAAGAAAAAUUGGUGCAAUAUUAACUUCAUAAAGGAAAGCAAUUUGAAAAAGCUUUAGGGUUUUGGUAAAAUAUGCACUGACAAACCUUGAGUCCAGAGGAACAAGGACAAAAUACACUGCCUGCCCCCUGACAAAGAGAUGAUAGACUUAAAAUGAAAUGCAGAAUGAGGCACACCUUUUUGGACUUGGCCACUAGGGGAACUUGUUUUUGUUCAGCAUUGUAUAUUGAAGGUUUUAUUUUUCUUUGUUGUUGUUGGGAGGAGUGUGUAGGGACAGGAAAUAAAUACUUGAUUUGAAAAAAAGAAUGAAAGGAGUAAAAGUUCAUGCUCUGCCAAAACAAAACAAACCCUCCAAACAAAAAACUCUUCAGAAGUAAAACCUAAGACUGCUCAGAAUUCCAGCCCAGUACUCCUGUUUACACUUUAGCUUCGGGUCUCUAUUUUGGAGAAGGCAGAGAAAGCUUGUGUUGCUGGAGCACAGGUUCAAAGUGGCACGGCUCUUUCCCCAUCUCCUCUUGUCCAAGGAGGGUGAUUCUAGGACCACUGUGCACAGUCCUGUUUGGACUUCAUUUCCCACCUUCCUCCCAUGAAUGGAGCUCCUUCCCCUUCUCUUAUCCUCAUCUGAUUCUGCUGCCUCAGAGGCUAAAACUUUCCAACCACUCUGCUCCUCUCAUUUCUUCAUAGGACAAAGGGCACCACCGAAAAAGCCUUUCCCAGAACUCAAACAACUGAGGUUUUCUGAGCCUUCACUCCAGAAUCUGAUUCCUUAGGGGCUCCGAAACGGGAAUGAGACUGGAUGGAGCAGCCUAGGUAGGAGGUGGGAGGUAGAGAGCCAGAUAAGAGUGGGAGUUUGGAAAUUAAUUGAGGACAGUGUAGGUGUAAGAGCAAGAGUUUGGGAUCCCAAAGGAUGCUGUCAAUAGAGGGCCAAGGAGUACAUCUAAAGAAGGCAGGGAAAAGAGAUGAUAGACGUGGUGUUGCUAUAGCAUAGCUAGCUGAGAGACGGAGGGUGGCAGCUUCACCUGUGCCAGCCAGCCUAAAGAGAGUCUAAUUUUGUCAUGUUAAAAAACAAAAAGGAAGGUGUCCAUAGCAACCAUUUGUUUGCUGUUUGUGAUAAGCUAGCAGCCUUAUAUAGAGGCCAUGGAAAAUGGGCUGAGGACAGUCGUCGGGUUGUUGGGGAUGGUCAGGAGGUUAUCAGGAGAUGACACUGGUGCGUGGCAUCUUCCUUUCCUGUCCCUGACUCAGCAAGGAGUGGGAAGGUAGACCUGACAAUUUAUUUCUUGUUCCUUAUUACAGAGGAGUCAUACAUAAGGGUUGGGCCAUGCAACAAUAUUUCCAUUUCGUUAUCCAAAUUUUCACCCAAAUCAGAUGAGUUCCUAGUGGUUCGAAGGAAGAGAGCCGGUGAAGAUUCAGCUUCCAUUUUUGCCUUAGCUGCCACGUUCGGGGCCUGGGAGAAUGGGGAAGAAAUGAAGGAGAGGCAUAGGUCCCAACUACAAAAGCAUGCACAACCCUAAGGAGGCUCCAGGACAGAGCGAUGGGUUGGGUCCCAGGCUGCGAGGCUGCCGCAGCCACCUUAAGAUAGCAGCAGUGGAUCCAGGGUGGUCGCGCCUACCUCUCUGGCGGGGGCGGGGAGGGGGGGGGGACAGAGAGGAUAGAUCCAAUCACCAGAGGAGGCGCCAGAUGUACAGAAUGAUGCCAGUCAGAGUAGAUCUUUCUCCUCCGGAUCUUCAGACCAGUUUCCACUCCAGACUUCUAGCCUAAAUAUUUACUUGGUAUCCUCACAACAAGGAUUAAAUGCUUGCUAAAUCCUCAGGUCUCUAUGAAACCAGCUUCUUGUAAAAAGGUGGGGGAUGGGAGAUUUCCUGGUACUCCGGGGUCAGGGGAAGAGGAAGUGACUCCGAGACGGUACAUCCCGGAAGCUGGGUGAGGACUGAAUUGGGGCACAGAGAGACAAAAGGUGUCCGACUGCCAGAGGGCUACAGGUGGCCUCCGCACUCCCAAGUGCAGCCUGAACCAGAUUAAAAGGCAUUGGGAAAUAUUGAACAAAAGAAAUAAAAAGGCAAUACAAUGUCAAUAGCAUUCAAUUCUAAAGCCAGUCAAAACACGGCCAGCAGGGAUCCUUCCGUCGGUUAGAGGUCUCUGUUUCUUCUGGAUUUGGGGAUCACUCCAAUACGGGGUCUCCUUUGGGGAAGCGGGGUGGGGUUGAGGAGGGCUCUCGUGCCCCCAACUAUCUCCCUCGGAGGUCUCACUUCAAUAGAAGGACGCCGUUGGGAGCGUGACCUUUUCCAGCACUAUUCCGGUUUCCGGGCGCCCGGUGAAUAGUCCUCUAGUCACUGUAGUUGGACUUUGGGUGAGCGGCCGCCAGAUGGUGCUCGUGAGUGGCUCGCCGGCGGCUCUGGCUCCUCUCGGUCCUUAGUCUUGAUUGUUCCUCAGUCUUCUGUUCGAGAUCAUACAUUUCCUGCUCUGUAAAUUCCUUAAAAGCCAAACUUCAUUAUGAUCAUCAGUCCUGAGGCCUCACACUGCGCAAUGGAAAGAAUAACUUGGAACGGAAAGAAAUGAACAGAAGAACUCAAGAAGAUUGGAGAUGAAAAGGACGUACAAAAAUUAUAUAUAUAUUUAUAUAUAUAAUAA